UCUAGGAGGUUGAGGUGUAGCAGUGGUGAGUCUGUUUAGCUACUCUACAAUUUUGUUCAGGCUAUGGGCUACCUUAGAUGAGGAGACAAGUAGGAUAUCGUUGAUCUUUUGAUUCUGCUCCUUGAGUUGGCUAACUCCCUCCUCCACUUCGGUGCUAAGCGUUUCAGCAACUGUCUUACAUUCAAGUUUUCUUCAAAUCCUUGCCCUCUGAUUCCAAAUUGCUCACCUUUAGAUAUAGAGAGUCCACUUUUGCGUUGAUAGCACUAAGUUGGUAGCUGAU
rnacentral:lncRNA from 1 species